rnacentral:lncRNA from 1 species
CUGUCAAAAUGGGCAAGUUCCUGAAACCUCGGAAAGUGGUGUUUGUCCUGGCUGGAUGCUACUCCAGACACAAAGCUGUCAUCGUGAAGAACAUUGAUGAUGGCACCUCAGAUCGCCCCUACAGCCAUGCCCUGGUGGCUGGAAUUGACCACUAUCCCUGCAAAGUAAGAGCUGCCAUGGGCAAGAAGAAGAUCACCAAGAGGUCAAAGAUCAAGUCUUUUGUGAAAGUUUAUAACUAAUCACCUAAUGCCCACAAGGUACUCUGUGGAUAUCCUCUUGGACAAAACUGUCAUUAAUAAGGAUGUCUGCAGACACCCUGCUCUUAAACCCAAGGCUGGACAAGAAGCCAAGAUCAAGUUUGAAAAGAGGUACAAGACGGGCAAGAACAAGUGGUUCUUCCAGAAGCUGCAGUUUUAGAGGCUUUGUUUUGGUCAUUAAAAAUU